rnacentral:rRNA from 1 species
UGGGGAAUAUUGGACAAUGGGGGCAACCCUGAUCCAGCAAUGCCGCGUGUGUGAAGAAGGCCUGCGGGUUGUAAAGCACUUUUAGUGGGGAGGAAAGGAUGAUGUCGAAUAGGCAUUAUCUGUGACGUUACCCACAGAAACAGCACCGGCUAACUCUGUGCCAGCAGCCGCGGUAAUACAGAGGGUGCAAGCGUUAAUCGGAAUUACUGGGCGUAAAGAGCACGUAGGUGGUUGUGUAAGUCACUUGUGAAAUGUCUGGGCUUAACCUGGACCUGUCGAGUGAAACUGCACAGCUUGAGUUCUGUAGAGGAUAGUGGAAUUUCUGGUGUAGCGGUGAAAUGCGUAGAUAUCAGAAGGAACACCCGUGGCGAAGGCGGCUAUCUGGACAGAAACUGACACU